rnacentral:rRNA from 1 species
GACGAACGCUGGCGGCGCGCUUAACACAUGCAAGUCGAGCGAAGCGGCGGACGGGUGAGUAACACGUGAGUAACCUGCCUUAGACAUUGGGAUAGCCUCGGGAAACCGGGAUUAAUACCAAAUGGUCUAAGAUGGACUCGCGUCCCAUUAGCUAGUUGGUGGGUAACGGCCUACCAAGGCGGUGACGGGUAGCCGGCCUGAGAAGGUGACCGGCGACAUUGGGACUGAGAUACGGCCCAGAGUAUACGGGGGGCAGCAGUGGGGGAUAUGGCCGAAUGGGCGAAAGCCUGAUGCAGCGUGGCUGCGUGGGGGAUGAAGGCUUUAGGGUUGUAAACCUCGUUCGCUAGCGAACGGGUACGUGGAGAAGAAGCGCCGGCUAACUACGUGCCAGCAGCCGCGGUAAUUC